rnacentral:rRNA from 1 species
GAAUUCGAUUAGAGUUUGAUCCUGGCUCAGGGUGAACGCUGGCGGCGUGCCUAAGACAUGCAAGUCGAGCGGGGCAGGUUUAUACCUGUUCAGCGGCGGACGGGUGAGUAACGCGUGGGUGACCUACCCGGAAGAGGCGGACAACCUGGGGAAACCCAGGCUAAUCCGCCAUGUGGUCCUAUCCUGUGGGGUAGGACUAAAGGGGCGACCCGCUUCCGGAUGGGCCCGCGUCCCAUCAGCUAGUUGGUGGGGUAAAGGCCCACCAAGGCGACGACGGGUAGCCGGUCUGAGAGGAUGACCAGCCACACUGGAACUGAGACACGGUCCAGACUCCUACGGGAGGCAGCAGUGGGGAAUAUUGCACAAUGGGCGCAAGCCUGAUGCAGCCAUGCCGCGUGUGUGAAGAAGGCCUUCGGGUUGUAAAGCACUUUCAGCGAGGAGGAAGGUGGUGAACUUAAUACGUUCAUCAAUUGACGUUACUCGCAGAAUAAGCACCGGCUAACUCUGUGCCAGCAGCCGCGGUAAUACAGAGGGUGCGAGCGUUAAUCGGAUUUACUGGGCGUAAAGCGUGCGUAGGCGGCUAAUUAAGUCAAAUGUGAAAUCCCCGAGCUUAACUUGGGAAUUGCAUUCGAUACUGGUUGGCUAGAGUAUGGGAGAGGAUGGUAGAAUUCCAAGUGUAGCGGUGAAAUGCGUAUAAAUCUGGAGGAAUACCGUUGGCGAAAGCAACAUCUGGUCUAAUAUUGACCUGAAGUACCAAACAUGGGGAAGCAACAGGAUAUAAACCCGGGUACCUCAGCCGUAAACAUGUUUCUUAUCGUUG